UGCAAUGGCGGUGUGUAUGUCUAGGAUUGGAUCCGAAGGGAGCUUGGUACUUAAGUAGUCCGAUAGACUCACCUCCUCUUUUCCGGUUUUCUACCUGGUGCACAGCUUCCAUUCACUUUAACCUAUAAUGAAAUUAUCUUUUAAAACACUAAGUAGGUUUUUCUGGAUCAACAAUAUAAAAUGUUUUGAACGCUUCGAUGUGAC
rnacentral:lncRNA from 1 species